GAGUUUGAUCAUGGCUCAGAACGUACGCUGGCGGCACGCCUAAUACAUGCAAGUCGAACGAAGUAGCAAUACUUAGUGGCAGACGGGUGAGUAACAUGUGGGUAUCUUCCCUUUGGUGAGGAAUAACACGAGGAAACUUGUGCUAAUACCUCAUAAGUCUUUACGGAGAAAGCUUUAUGCGCCAUUGGAUGAGCCUGCACUUGAUUAGUUUGUUGGUGGGGUAAUGGCCUACCAAGACAAUGAUCAAUAGCUGAUUUGAGAGGAUGAUCAGCCACAUUGGGACUGAGACACGGCCCAAACUCCUACGGGAGGCAGCAGUAGGGAAUCUUGCACAAUGGAGGAAACUCUGAUGCAGCGAUGCCGCGUGAGUGAAGAAGGCCUUUGGGUUGUAAAGCUCUUUCGUCGGGGAAGAAAAUGACUGUACCCGAAUAAGAAGGUCCGGCUAACUUCGUGCCAGCAGCCGCGGUAAUACGAAGGGACCUAGCGUAGUUCGGAAUUACUGGGCUUAAAGAGUUCGUAGGUGGUUGAAAAAGUUAGUGGUGAAAUCCCAGAGCUUAACUCUGGAACUGCCAUUAAAACUUUUAGCUAGAGUAUGAUAGAGGAAAGCAGAAUUUCUAGUGUAGAGGUGAAAUUCGUAGAUAUUAGAAAGAAUACCAAUUGCGAAGGCAGCUUUCUGGAUCAUUACUGACACUGAGGAACGAAAGCAUGGGUAGCGAAGAGGAUUAGAUACCCUCGUAGUCCAUGCCGUAAACGAUGUGUGUUAGAUGUUGGAAAUUUAUUUUCAGUAUCGCAGCGAAAGCAAUAAACACACCGCCUGGGGAGUACGACCGCAAGGUUAAAACUCAAAUGAAUUGACGGGGACCCGCACAAGUAGUGGAGCAUGUGGUUUAAUUCGAAGAUACGCGCAGAACCUUACCAACACUUGACAUGUUCGUCGCGACUCUAAGAGAUUAGAGUUUUCGGUUCGGCCGGACGAAACACAGGUGCUGCAUGGCUGUCGUCAGCUCGUGUCGUGAGAUGUUGGGUUAAGUCCCGCAACGAGCGCAACCCUCACUUUUAGUUGCUACCAUUUAGUUGGGCACUCUGAAAGAACUGCCAGUGAUAAGCUGGAGGAAGGUGGGGAUGACGUCAAGUCCUCAUGGCCCUUACGUGUUGGGCUACACACGUGCUACAAUGGCAUCUACAAUAGGAAGCAAGAUGGCGACAUCAAGCAAAUCCUAAAAAGAUGCCUCAGUUCGGAUUGCACUCUGCAACUCGAGUGCAUGAAGCUGGAAUUACUAGUAAUCGCGGAUCAGCGCGCCGCGGUGAAUACGUUCCCGGGUCUUGUACACACCGCCCGUCACACCAUGGAAGUUGGUUACACCUGAAGGCAAAACGUAAAAAUUUUGACUACGGUACGAUCAGCGACUGGGGUGAAGUCGUAACA
rnacentral:rRNA from 1 species